CACGUAGGGCGCGAGCGUUGUCCGGAAUUAUUGGGCGUAAAGAGCUCGUAGGCGGCCUGUUGCGUCCGCUGUGAAAGCCCGGGGCUCAACCCCGGAAUUGCCUUUGAGACUGCAUCGCUAGAAUUGUGGAGAGGUAAGUGGAAUUCCGAGUGUAGAGGUGAAAUUCGUAGAUAUUCGGAAGAACACCAGUGGCGAAGGCGACUUACUGGACACAUAUUGACGCUGAGGUGCGAAAGCGUGGGGAGCAAACAGG
rnacentral:rRNA from 1 species